rnacentral:lncRNA from 1 species
CCUUGUCCUUUUCUUUUGUAAAAGAAAAUGGGUUCUUAGGCUGUUAGGCUGUACCCCUCAGCCCCUCAAAUCAUCAUGAAUUUAUAAGAACAUUGAGCAUGUGAUGAUAUAUAUAUUCUGAAUAUAUCAGUAGAAUGAUGCAUAUUGUUUGCUGUUUAAUUUUUAGCCAGUCCAAUAACAAAAAAUUGAAAAAUUGUUAAUGCAAGGCCAUUAGGGAUAAAAUUUUAUUUCCUCAAGUUACCUUGACAUUGAUACUAACCCAAAGUAUGAAGAUGUGUAAUUCAUCGAGUGGAUGGAAAUUCUGUGUUUCCUUUACCUCCUUGUACAUGGGGCAACAAUAUGAGAGCAACCAAGCUUUUGCUAUUUAUGAGAGACAAUACAUGGUCAGAUCUAGUAAAACAAGAUAUUAAUGUCUAUAAUGAAACUCUUUUUAUCAUUUUAUUUGCCACAAUGUGAUCUUUUCUUUUUUCUUCCUUUAGCUGAAACGAUUAGUGAUAGAAUAGGUCUGGAUCUUCGUUAUCGGGUUAGUUAAGCUGUCAGCUGUCUUAAUCUUAGAAGACCUGUGGUGGAUUUGAAAAAAAAUGUUUCUUUAGCAGACGUCAUAUAGUAUUACAUACAAUUUGAAUAAUCACUGCACAUGAAUACGUCAUAUACUAAAUUUGAAGACAUAAUUGCUUAAUCUUUCAAGUGAAGAUCUACUAGAAGUUGAUCUUAUCAGAUGAAGUGUGUCAAGUGUUUCUUUGUAUUUAUAUUAACAUACUUCAUAUAAAUUGGAAUUUCAUGGUAUUAGAAUGCUUGACUAUUUAUCUCGUAUCUGACCUGCGUUAAGAAGAUAUCCUAUCUUCACUGUCUGGUUAAAGUGUUUUACAUUUUCCUUUCAUAAGUAAUUUUGGAUGAAACUUGAUCUAUAUAUAGCGCACUUGAAUUUCCUUGUUUAUUUUUGCAUUCAAAAGAAUCCUUCCCAUUUUUCGUUCAAUAGCCUCCUGUAUGUAAACCUCCUUAGGCAGACCCGUU